ensembl:snRNA U6 U6 spliceosomal RNA
AUUUCCUUUUAAGACACAUCCACAAAAAAUACAGAGAAGAUUAGCAUCCUGUGCAAGGAUGACAUGGAAAUUCAUGAAGCAUUCAUUUUUUAG